rnacentral:rRNA from 1 species
AUUGAACGCUGGCGGCAGGCUUAACACAUGCAAGUCGAACGAGUGGCGGACGGGGGAGUAAUGCUUGGGAAUCUAGCUUAUGGAGGGGGAUAACUACGGGAAACUGUAGCUAAUACCGCGUACCAUAGGAUGAGCCAAAGUGGGAUUAGGGAGUUGGUGAGGUAAAGGCUCACCAAGCCGACGAUCUCUCGCUGGUCUGAGAGGAUGACCAGCCACACUGGGACUGAGACACGGCCCAGACUCCUACGGUAGGCAGCAGUGGGGAAUUUUGCACAAUGGGCGCAAGCCUGAUGCAGCCAUGCCGCGUGUAUGAAGAAGGCCUUCGGGUUGUAAAGUACUUUCAGCGGGGAGGCGUUACCCGCAGAAGAAGCACCGGCUAACUACGUGCCAGCCGCCGCGGUAAUUC